rnacentral:lncRNA from 1 species
CGCAUUUCUAUAUUUUUAAGCCUAACAAAGUUCCAUUCUAUGUAUGCCCUGCAUUUUGUUCAUCUACCAUUGCUGAAAUUUUGGUUCCGCCUGCGUUUUGGCUAUUGUGGGUAAUGUGGCCAUGUACACGAGUGUGUGGAUGUCUGGGCUCUGCUUUUGGGGCGUUUGAUACAGUCUCGGGAGUAGAUUUCCACAUGUCAUUGGUUACACAUUGGUUAAAGAGCCAUUGUGCUGUUUUUCCAGUGCUGUACUCAAGGUUUCCAGAUUCCCCCCAUCCUGGCAUUUGGGUGUUUGGUUGUUUUGUGGCAGUAGACCAGAGCUUUGUAAACAGACAGGCUCGCCACCACUGAGCUGCACUUACAGCAUCAGUUCUCUGUGUGGUUGUUUUUUAAAUUGUUGUCCUUGUAUGUGAGGUGGCACUUUAUUGUAUUAAUUGCAUUUUCUAAUGAUUGGUGAGGUUGGGUUUAUUUGACAUUUGUGUGUUUUCUUUGGAGAAAUUCUUUAAGCUUAUGUGCAUAUAUUUUAUAUAAAUUGUCAAAAGCAUUUCUGUGUCUGGCAAAUGCAUGUUAACAUUAAUGUUUCUUACUUUAAAAAUUUAAAGUUGGGCCAGAGAAAUGGCUCAGCAGGUAAAAAAAGUUGUCCCCAAGCUUGACAAGCUGAGUUCAGUCCCAGAUCCCACAUGGUUUAAGAAGAGAAAUGAUUUCUACAAGCUUCCCUUUAACGUCCACACUAGCUAUUACAUUGUACACACAUACAAUAAAGAAAUUAAUUUAAAACAG